rnacentral:rRNA from 1 species
UACGAGAGGAGCAAGCGUUAUCCACAAUGACUGGGCGUAAAGGGCGCGUAGGUAGCAUUUGAGGUGUUUUGUGAAAUCUUGUGCUGAUAGCAUAAAAAGCAAAAUGCAGUAUUUUGCUAGAGUGAUGCUCAGGUUUAAAGAACAACAGCUGGAAGCUAAAAUCUGGAUAUAGCUGCAGGUAUGCCAUAUUUGGUGAAGACGUUAUUCUGGAGCUGACUGACACUGAGGCGCGAAAGCGUGGGGAGCAAAUAGG